GACGAACGCUGGCGGCGUGCUUAACACAUGCAAGUCGAACGGAAAGGCCCUGCUUGCAGGGUACUCGAGUGGCGAACGGGUGAGUAACACGUGGGUGAUCUGCCCUGCACUUCGGGAUAAGCCUGGGAAACUGGGUCUAAUACCGGAUAGGAGCCAUUUUUAGUGUGAUGGUUGGAAAGUUUUUUCGGUGUAGGAUGAGCUCGCGGCCUAUCAGCUUGUUGGUGGGGUAAUGGCCUACCAAGGCGGCGACGGGUAGCCGGCCUGAGAGGGUGGACGGCCACAUUGGGACUGAGAUACGGCCCAGACUCCUACGGGAGGCAGCAGUGGGGAAUAUUGCACAAUGGGCGCAAGCCUGAUGCAGCGACGCCGCGUGGGGGAUGACGGCCUUCGGGUUGUAAACUCCUUUCGCUAGGGACGAAGCUUUUUGUGACGGUACCUAGAUAAGAAGCACGGGCUAACUACGUG
rnacentral:rRNA from 1 species